CAAGCAAGGAGCCCCCUAGUUUGAACCCCCGAAACCAGACGAGCUACUCCGGGACAGCCUAACAUAGGGCCAACCCGUCUCUGUGGCAAAAGAGUGGGAAGAUCCCCGAGUAGAGGUGAAAGACCUACCGAGUCAGGUUAUAGCUGGUUGCCCAGGAAAUGAAUAAAAGUUCAGCUCCGUCAAGCCCCCACCCCAGUAAAAUCAAGGUAAAAGGACAUAUACGGAAGUUAGUUAAAGGAGGUACAGCUCCCUUAACAAAGGACACAACCUUCACAGGAGGCUAAAGAAUACAUUAAGCCAAGGCCACAGGUUUCAGUGGGCCUAAAAGCAGCCACCUGGACAGAAAGCGUUAAAGCUCAAACCGAAUCAAGCCCAUUAUACUAUUAAAUACCUCUAAUGCCCCUAACCAAUACUGAGCCUCUCCAUGCCCACAUGGAAAAGACCAUGCUAGAACGAGUAAUAAGAAGUAAAGAACUUCUCCCCGCACACGUGUACGUCGAACCGGACUAUCCACCGACAAUUAACGAACCCAAUAACAGAGGUCCAUGCACCACCGCCACAUAAAGCCAAGAAAACCACGCAAAUCCAAUCGUUAACCCCACACAGGAGUGCAAACAAGGAAAGACUUAAAGAAUAAAAAGGAACUCGGCAAACCCAGACCCCGCCUGUUUACCAAAAACAUCGCCUCCUGCCCAAAUUACCCC
rnacentral:rRNA from 1 species